rnacentral:lncRNA from 1 species
CGGGGUUGGAGGUGGUGGUGGUGGUGGCGGGGGUGAAGGUGGCGGGGUUUGAGGUGGCGUAGGUGGUGGUGGGGGUGGUGGCGAGUUUGGAGGUGGCCGAGAUGGUAGCGGGGGAAGUGGUGACGGGGAUGGAGCUAGCGGAGGUUGUGGCGGGGGAGGUGGUGACGGGGAUGGAGGUGGCGGAGGUGGUUGCGAGGGAGGUGGUGACGGGGAUGGAGGUGGCGGAGGUGGUUGCGGGGGAGGUGGUGACGGGGAUGGAGGUGGCGGAGGUGGUUGCGGGGGAGGUGGUGAUGGGGAUGGAGGUGGCGGAGGUGGUUGCGGGGGAGGUGGUGACGGGGAUGGAGGUGGCGGAGGUGGUGGAAGGGACAUUGGUGACGGAGGGAGGAGUGGUUCUUCAGGCUCGUCCUCACAGGGGGGCUCGGGAAUCUCCGGACAAUCCGGAGGAAGAAAGGGCGGGCUUGCAUCUUGAGACAUGGGGGGCGGCGGCAAUGUGGCCUGCAAGGGGGGCGGCGGCAAUGUGGCCUG